rnacentral:snRNA from 1 species
GUGCUCACUUUGGCAGCACAUAUACUAAAAUUGGAAUGAUACAGAGAUUAGCAUGGCCACUGCGCAAGGAUGACGUGCAAAUUCAUGAAGCGUUCCAUAUUUUU